UACAGAGGUCUCAAGCGUUGUUCGGAUUCAUUGGGCGUAAAGGGUGCGUAGGCGGCGCGGUAAGUCGGGUGUGAAAUCUCGGAGCUUAACUCCGAAACUGCAUUCGAUACUGCCGUGCUUGAGGGUCGGAGGGGAGACUGGAAUUCUCGGUGUAGCAGUGAAAUGCGUAGAUAUCGAGAGGAACACCAGUGGCGAAGGCGAGUCUCUGGACGACUCCUGACACUGAGGCACGAAAGCUAGGGGAGCAAACAGG
rnacentral:rRNA from 1 species